rnacentral:rRNA from 1 species
AUGAAUCUCUUGGCUUGGAACUGUCGAGGACUGAGGUUGGACUCGACAGUAGGCGAAUUACGAGUCCUGAUAAGGUCCCACAACCUAGCGAUGGUGUUAUUAUGUAAGACAAAGAAGGAGGCUAGGGCGGUGGAACGACUGAGAUGGAGUCUAGGGUUCACUUGUGGGGUCGCGGUGGAUUGUGAGGGUCGCAGUGGUGGCCUUGCUCUCUGGUGUAGAGAGCACGUUCAGGUCACGAUGAGUCCUUGGUGUUAG